AUGACGCGCGCGUGCUAUACAUGCAAGUCGAGCGAAUGAAGAGGAGCUUGCUCCUCUGAUUUAGCGGCGGACGGGUGAGUAACACGUGGGUAAUCUGCCUGUAAGACGGGGAUAACUCCGGGAAACCGGGGCUAAUACCGGAUAACAAGAGAAGAAGCAUUUCUUCUUUUGAAAGUCGGUUUCGGCUGACACUUACAGAUGAGCCCGCGGCGCAUAGCUAGUUGGUGAGGUAACGGCUCACCAAGGCGACGAUGCGUAGCCGACCUGAGAGGGUGAUCGGCCACACUGGGACUGAGACACGGCCCAGACUCCUACGGGAGGCAGCAGUAGGGAAUCUUCGGCAAUGGGCGAAAGCCUGACCGAGCAACGCCGCGUGAGCGAUGAAGGCCUUCGGGUCGUAAAGCUCUGUUGUUAGAGAAGAACAAGUACGAGAGUAACUGCUCGUACCUUGACGGUACCUAACCAGAAAGCCACGGCUAACUACGUGCCAGCAGCCGCGGUAAUACGUAGGUGGCAAGCGUUAUCCGGAAUUAUUGGGCGUAAAGCGCGCGCAGGCGGUCUCUUAAGUCUGAUGUGAAAGCCCACGGCUCAACCGUGGAGGGUCAUUGGAAACUGGGAGACUUGAGUGCAGGAGAGAAAAGUGGAAUUCCACGUGUAGCGGUGAAAUGCGUAGAGAUGUGGAGGAACACCAGUGGCGAAGGCGGCUUUUUGGCCUGUAACUGACGCUGAGGCGCGAAAGCGUGGGGAGCAAACAGGAUUAGAUACCCUGGUAGUCCACGCCGUAAACGAUGAGUGCUAGGUGUUGGGGGGUUCCACCCUCAGUGCUGAAGUUAACACAUUAAGCACUCCGCCUGGGGAGUACGACCGCAAGGUUGAAACUCAAAGGAAUUGACGGGGGCCCGCACAAGCAGUGGAGCAUGUGGUUUAAUUCGAAGCAACGCGAAGAACCUUACCAGGUCUUGACAUCCUCUGAACACUCUAGAGAUAGAGCUUUCCCCUUCGGGGGACAGAGUGACAGGUGGUGCAUG
rnacentral:rRNA from 2 species